UACAGAGGGUGCGAGCGUUAAUCGGAAUUACUGGGCGUAAAGCGUGCGUAGACGGCUAUCUAAGUCGGGUGUGAAAGCCCCGGGCUCAACCUGGGAAUUACAUUCGAGACUGAAUAGCUAGGGUGCGGUAGAGGGAAGCGGAAUUUCCGGUGUAGCGGUGAAAUGCGUAGAUAUCGGAAGGAACAUCAGUGGCGAAAGCGGCUUCCUGGACCAGCACCGACGUUCAGGCACGAAAGCGUGGGGAGCAAACGGG
rnacentral:rRNA from 1 species